UUUCCGUAGGUGAACCUGCGGAAGGAUCAUUACCGAACGUCCGGGAACAGGACGCAAAACAAGCCAUGCGUAUUAGUUCGCGCGGCAGGUACUCCCGUACUUGCCUGCUCCCUCUUUGCCCUUCUCUCUCUUUCGUCGCUCAGGUGCUAGGCGGUCGACGCUUGUCGGCUCCGGGCCCCUGAAGGGAUGACUCCUCUUUUUGCCGCAGGUGAAUAGCUUUCGGGAUGCAACGGCGCGAGCUCUAGGAGUGCGGGUGCUAUGUCAAAAUGGCGCACGGGCUCACGGAGUGCGGAUCGGAGCGGCUCGGAGGAAGGAAGCCUGCGGGGGGAGUUGUCUCAGACACAGCAGCAGAACCCCGCGAAACCACAAUCGUUAUGCGAUGUCGGGCGAGUUGCGUCUCGCCGAGCUCUUCGUGAGCUCGAAACAAAGCGCUACCCACAAACCACACUAAACUCUGAAUCUGAACUCAAAAGGAGGCGCGGCGCAUUCUUGCGUAGCGCCUUCUCAACCUUUAACGUUGUAAAACUUUCAGCGACGGAUGUCUUGGCUCCCACAACGAUGAAGAACGCAGCGAAAUGCGAUACGUCUUGCGACUUGCAGAAUCCAGUGAAUCAUCAAAACUUUGAACGCAUCUUGCGCUUCCGGGAUAUGCCUGGGAGCAUGCUUGUCGGAGUGUCUGUUGACACAUCUCGCCCCCCGCCGCUUCUUUUGGGGCGGUACGGAGGGCGGACUCUGCGUGUUCCGGAGCGCGAGCUCCGAGUGCACCGAACCUCGUGAACGCGAGACCUCUACUGCUGAUUGCACAGAGUUGUUGACGGCGUGUCUGCUUCGGCGGCGCGACUCUCUACUCGCCACGUGCCUUUAUCAUGUAUUGGUCGUAGUUCCGGUUGCGCGCCUUCUGGGCGCACUACCCCAACUUUCGUUCGGACCUCCGAUCAAGCAAGAGGACCCGCUGAAUUUAAG
rnacentral:rRNA from 1 species